rnacentral:tRNA from 1 species
CAAAAAGUAGCUUACAACAAAGCAUUCGACUUACACUCGAAAGACAUUCAAAUAAAUCUUUUUGA